rnacentral:rRNA from 1 species
CGGGAUAAGUGCUGAAAGCAUCUAAGCAUGAAGCCCCCCUCAAGAUGAGAUUUCCCAUGGCGCAAGCUAGUAAGAUCCCUGAAAGAUGAUUAGGUUGAUAGGUCAGAGGUGGAAGCAUGGUGACAUGUGGAGCUGACUGAUACUAAUAGAUCGAGGACUUAACCAA